CUCCUCUCAGGGUCGCACCUGGAGAGUUUCCAUUCCUCUACCAGUUUCGGCUAUGGAAGGGGGAAUCAAGCAGAGGCCUACCCAUUCCAUUCCUGGCUUGAGCAGUGGCUAGCGAGUGGAAGGCAAUCUGCUACAAGU